UUCCUCUCUUGUCCUUGAUUUCUUUUGUAUAUACAGCAAAUGAGGGAUGAAGCAUUUUUUAUAUUCAUUUUUUUAAUUUUUUAAUUGUAGUUGGACUAUUUGUUUUUUUAGUGGUGCUGAGGAUCCAACCCAGGGCGUCGCUCAUGCUAGCAGAAUGCUCUCGGCUGAGCCACAACUCCUGCCCAAGCAUUCUUUUUUUUUUUUAAAUUGUGGCAAACAAAGCAAAACAAAACAAAACAAAAAAAAGUAUUAUAAACCUUUCCGUUUCUAUAAUUUUGCAGUGUCAAAUUCAAUGGCAUUAACUAUGUUGACAAUGUUGAGCCAACAUCCACCACCACCUCCUUCCAAAAGUUUUUGAUUGUCCCACUGAAUGUCAUUGUACCCAUGAAGGAACAACUCUCCCUUCCCCCUGCUUCUCAGUCCUGGGAACCCCUAAUCUACUUUCUAUUUCUGUGAAUCUGCCUAAUCCUGUUAUAUCCUCAAGUGGAACCACACAAUGUGUGUCUUGCUUGUUUCAUUUAGCAUCAUGUUUAAGGUUCAUCUAUGUUGUCCCAUGUGCCAGAAUUUAUUCCUUUUUACAGAUGAAAAUAUUCCAUUAUAUGGAUGAAAAUAUUCCAUUGUAUGGAUGAACCACUUGUUGGCAACAAACUCGGUUUGCUUCCAGCUAUCAGAUUCAUUCUGUUCUCUGCUCUGUUAUGUCUCAGGAGACAAACCUGGAUGGGCCUCGUUGACAGGCUCAAGGCUCCUGUCUGACAGUCAUUAACAGGGCUUUUGAGUGGAUAUCAUUUACAGGAUCAGAUGAGAGAGAUUCCGACUUAUCUCUUGCUGACUUAUCUCUCCCUUGCUGGCUUUGGUG